AGUAAAAGUCGUAACAAGGUUUCGUCGCAGGAUCCUUCCUGGGAAGCCUUUUCGCGCAACGACUCUAACCACGCGCGCAGUCUAGAGAUAGGCGACGUCGUCCCUAUGCUGGAACGCUGUAGUCACCUACAACCCACCAGCAGCCAGGCGUGCCUGGUCCACAGAUUAGGUGAUGGCGGUCCCCGGCUGACCCCGGGGAUCAAGAUAUAAUCGGUCUCUAAUAGCCAACAUUAGAUGGAACACGUUCCGUAGGUGAACCUGCGGAAGGAUCAUUAUCGAGCUAGGGUCCUCUGGGCCCCAUCUCCAACCCUUGUUUAUUCUACCACGUUGCUUUGGCGGGCCCGCCCUUGAUCGGGCCGCCGGGGAUGUUCGUCCCUGGCCAGCGCCCGCCAACGGCCCCCCAAACUCCACAAAUAAUGAAUGUCUAAAUCUUUGCAAGAAUAAACUAAAAACUUUCAACAACGGAUCUCUUGGUUCUGGCAUCGAUGAAGAACGCAGCGAAAUGCGAUAAGUAAUGCGAAUUGCAGAAUUCCGUGAGUCAUCGAAUCUUUGAACGCACAUUGCGCCCUUUGGUAUUCCGAAGGGCAUGCCUGUUCGAGCGUCAUUAUCAACCCUCAAGCCCGGCUUGGCGUUGGGUCCCGCCGGGUCGAAACCCUGGCGGACCUCAAAGAUAAUGGCAGAGCCCGUUUGGACCCUGGAUGCAGCGAGCUCCCUGGCACGCGUCACGGCGGUUCUUCGGCUCGGUCUUCCCCGAAUUUUUUUUACUGGUGACCUCGGAUCAGUAGGGAUACCCGCUGAACUUAAGCAUAUCA
rnacentral:rRNA from 1 species